GGUAAUUCAUCAUUUAAAUAAACUUUUGAUGUUGAUUCACAUGUUAAGAGGAAUACUUUGCUUUCUUAAUAGAGAAUUAUUUUUUUGGUAAAGCAAAAGAGGGAUUUCCAAAUUUUUUUUAAUUCAAAAUCCAUCCUAUAUUUAAGUACGCACAUUAAACACAUAUAAUAAAGAAUGUUAGACCCAAGUUAUUAGAUUAAAUCGAGGAUGUGCUCAUGGCCCACCAAUUAUUGAUGAUCAAACCAAUUAAACAUCAACUAUCAACUAGACAUCUUAACCAUACAAAGCAAAUUAAUCAAGGCUUUUCCCAUAUUCAAAAACACUUAUAAGAAAGUACAAAUUGCACAAAUGUUCAACACUCGAGAGAACCAAUUAUGGCUUUCUUGAAUAAUACAACCAUAUUUUCCAUGGAAUAAAGUUCAACCAUUAAAAUCUCUAAGGUUGAUUUGGUCAGGGUCUAUCCAGGAUAUUUCUUUUUGCCUACAAUCCGAUAAUAUGAAAAUUUUUAUUAGAAUUAAAAUCAAAUAUUUUAGUCAUGAUAGGAUCGUGACUAUGAGUGUUUGUGCUAGUGUAAUCUCCUUCGUUAUAGAUAAUAAUUAUUGUAAAUCAUAUUUAAAGCUAAAAAAAUAUUAAUUGAAAAUUACCUCAAUAAUAGUAGUCAUGUUUUGUUGAAUAAUAUUGAAUCCAUCCUUCAAUUUUCCCAAUCCAUUCAAACAUCUAAAUGCAUAAAGAAACAAAUGACAUAAGAUAUUAGUAGAAAAAUAUAAGUCUAGUUUGAUUAACAUAACAAAGAUGAAUAAAGAAACAAAAGAUAUCUAAUGUUGAUAGAAAAAUAUACAUUUAAUUUUAUUAACCCUUUCACAUGGUAUGAAUCUAAACUCGUACUUAAAUAGAAGUGCUAGAUAUGAGUAUGUUAUGAUAUUUGGGUGUACAUAUUAGUGUUUAGGAGUGAGGGAAACACAUUUUAAUUUUAAGUUCUUCAAUAUAGAUUAAUCUCUCCCAUGAAAUAUGUAUAUUUACAAAAACCAUGAAAAUAGGAAGUAGGUUCUCAAAUGGUUGUCAUCAUCUUCUUAUUUAUGUUUGCUUAAUAACAUGAUUUUAACUAAUUAGUGGAUAUAGUAAAUGGGUGUUGCUCCUCUUUUGCUCUGCAACUCUUAUCGUCAUAUAGAUAUACAAUUAUUUAGUUAUCAUAUAUUACAAAAAGAAAUUGAGUUAUAGUAAAGGAAAAAAAUCUAAAAGGAUAUGAUCUAUGUAUUUAACAAUAAAAUAUCACCUCGAACCUGAAUUUUAUGUUUGAUACAUUUCACUUAUAUUUGCUAUUUAUUUUUGUUAUGACUGCCUCAUUUGUCGUUCCACCGAUACUAAAACACCUACUUGGGAGAAACAAACCUACUCUAAACUUAAUUCUUUCUAGUUAAAGAAUCUCCAAUAAUUGCUUUAUGACAGCACCUGGUGAAACAAGAAGCAGUAAUUUGGUGAUUUAUAGUAGUGAUCUAUUUCUCUGCUCAGUUGAAGAAAGUUCAAAUUCUUGCUGUGUUUUUUCUACUAUUUAAUCUAAGACUCACUUGGUCAGAACUCAGAAGCAACAUUUUUUUCCAUUCUAGAAUAAUACUUGAUCUCUAAUAGUUAAAUUGAUUGAACAAAUUCAUAACCUCUAAAAUUCCACAUCUCCCCUACCAGUCCUAUUAAAAUAAUUGUGUUCUAGUUGAUUUAACUUUUACAAGAUUAAAUACUAGAGCAUAUGUAGUGUUAUUCUUAUAUCACAUUGAGCAAACCACUUCUAGUUGUGUUAGUUCAUUGUUGGUUGAGUUAUUGUAAAAUUUGAUUAUUGAGGAUAACUUUUCUUGGCUUGGCUAUCAAAGAUGAGAAUUGAAUCUUGUGGUUACUAAUUCAAAGUUUAAAUUAUUGUAAGUUUGAACUUUUCA
rnacentral:lncRNA from 1 species